CCUACGGGAGUCAGCAGUGGGGAAUAUUGCACAAUGGGGGAAACCCUGAUGCAGCGACGCCGCGUGAGUGAAGAAGUAUUUCGGUACGUAAAGCUCUAUCAGCAGGGAAGAAAAUGACGGUACCUGACUAAGAAGCCCCGGCUAACUACGUGCCAGCAGCCGCGGUAAUACGUAGGGGGCAAGCGUUAUCCGGAUUUACUGGGUGUAAAGGGAGCGUAGACGGCAGCGCAAGUCUGGAGUGAAAUCCCAUGGCUUAACCAUGGAACUGCUUUGGAAACUGUGCAGCUAGAGUGCAGGAGAGGUAAGCGGAAUUCCUAGUGUAGCGGUGAAAUGCGUAGAUAUUAGGAGGAACACCAGUGGCGAAGGCGGCUUACUGGACUGUAACUGACGUUGAGGCUCGAAAGCGUGGGGAGCAAACAGGAUUAGAUACCCCAGUAGUC
rnacentral:rRNA from 1 species